rnacentral:rRNA from 1 species
UACGUAGGGCGCAAGCGUUAUCCGGAAUUAUUGGGCGUAAAGAGCUCGUAGGUGGCUUGUCGCGUCUGCCGUGAAAGUCCGGGGCUCAACUCCGGAUCUGCGGUGGGUACGGGCAGACUAGAGUGAUGUAGGGGAGACUGGAAUUCCUGGUGUAGCGGUGAAAUGCGCAGAUAUCAGGAGGAACACCGAUGGCGAAGGCAGGUCUCUGGGCAUUAACUGACGCUGAGGAGCGAAAGCAUGGGGAGCGAACAGG